GCCCUCUGUCGGAGCCGGGCAGCACGCGCGAGGCACUGCGCAGACGCUGAAUCCAAAGCUUAGGCGAGGCCAAGGCGGCCGGGAGCAAACCCGGGGCACCUGCAGGGGCGGCCCACUGCGCACGCGCGGGCCGACGCGCCCCCUGGAGGAGCCGGAGCUUCCUGGUGCGUUCUUCCACCCGCGCCUGUCUCCGGUGCUUCCUCCCCGCUGGGCGGCCUGAGCUGUCAGCGCCGGCCGCUGCCGCCCCUGCGAGGCUGGCGCGGAACCGGGAAUCUGAGGGAGGGAACCUGGCGAGAGAGCUCCUCCGGCCGCCGCCACCCUGGCGCUGAGGGUCGGCUUAAGCACCCUUCGUCUACCCAAAGGUGCCAGAGAGUCAUGCCUGUGAGCCCCAGGUCCCUCCAGAUGUCCCUCGAGAUUUCAGCAUUCCUGCUCCCUAGGGCUGCUGCUUCUCUCCAGGGGCCCACUGCUUCCACCCCAGAGUCAUCUGUGUAGUACUGCUGCCACAGGCCACUUCCCCUGGAACCUUGGAGGAACACCUUCAGCCAGCCUUUCCUGGGACUAAGGCCAGAAGAGGGCGCCAGAUCUCACUACAGAUGG